UACAGAGGUCUCAAGCGUUGUUCGGAUUCAUUGGGCGUAAAGGGUGUGUAGGUGGCGCGCUAAGUCGGGUGUGAAAUUUCGAGCUUAACUCCGAAACUGCAUUCGAUACUGGCGUGCUUGAGGACUGGAGAGGAGACUGGAAUUUAUGGUGUAGCAGUGAAAUGCGUAGAGAUCAUGAGGAAGACCAGUGGCGAAGGCGGGUCUCUGGACAGUUCCUGACACUGAGACACGAAGGCCAGGGGAGCAAAACGGG
rnacentral:rRNA from 1 species